GUAUAGACCUUAUCAUGGUAAUUCAUGUACAGAAUCCCCACUCUUUUCUGCCAUUUUCAAAGCCUGUUUAACCAGUCCUUCUUUCUCCUCUCCUCUGUUUGUCACAUGCCAUUAAUGCCCUUAAAGCUUCUUCAUUUUUCUUCAUAAUUUGCAAAAUCUACAAAUAUUUUUGCAUAAUAUUAAAUACCCAUCUCAUAUUUCUUUGUAAAAAUUUAUAUGGUAGCCAUUGACAUAUAUAGGGAUAUUGACAAUUUAUUCUAUAAUUUGGUUUUGAAAUCUGGUUAUUUCAGUCUCUCAAGCUCAAAUUAAAGGUGGGGUUUUUUUUUGUUUUUUUAAAAAAAUAAAAAUAAUCAUUUCUUGUUCAUAUUUAGCUUCUUUGUUUGUUGUUUUGUCCAUUUUUUGAAUCUUGAAAUCUGAGAUGUGUAAUUUGUUUGUGUUGGGGUUUUGUUUGGUUUCAUUUAUUAUAAGUAUAUGUGUUGAAUGGAUUUUAGUUUACAAAAUUUCAACUUUUUUGGUAAGAUUUGUUUAUUACCCUUUUCUUGUUAUGGAAAUAUUUAGUCAGAGAGGUGAAUGGAAUUUAAUGAUGUGAAUAAUUUUGUCAAAAUAUAGAAUCAUAUUUGCACUUAUUAAAGACAACCUAGUAGUAUAUUCUGCUGUUUAUUGACUUCUUUUCUGGGGAAAUAAAUGGCUACAUAUUCAUGAAUAGUUCUCCACUUAUUAAAACACAAAUGGUAUAAUUCAGCCGUGGGUCUUUCAGAAAUAGACUCUCUAUCUCCACGAGGGAGUGGUAAGAUCGGUGUACAUAUCACCCUUCCUUAGAUGUUACCUAUGGAAUUACACUUAAUAUGUUGUUGAAACACAUGUGGUUUACCUGCUUUGUAUUGAUUUCUGAAAAAUUAAUGUAUUUUCAAUAUUCAUGAUCUUUUUUACAACAUUCAGGAUGUAGAGUAGGUUUAUCGAUUUCUGAGCUGAGUAUCUAUAAGAACCAACCUAUCUACAUGUGUAAUUACACUGAAUAUGUUGUUGUUGAGGAUGUAGAGUAGAAUCUAGCAGAAACAUCCUUAUGACCAUGUUUCAUGUUAGAAUGUUCUGUCUUUUCGCCUCAUCUUGUAAUCAGUUUGUUAGUGUUAAAAGAGGAUGUUUUUUUUUAUCAAACCAAUUUGGUUAAAGAAAUUGAUUCAGAAUAUUGUUUUGCUUUGUCACUCAUUGCAGGGGAAGCAUUUGGAUGGAAAGAUUUGCUUGAAAUUGUAUGUCAAAGUUGGACAAAGAUCAUAGUACCUUAAUAGCUUCCUAUUAGAAAGCUUUUGCAGGCCUCGUAUGAGGCAAACGUCGCUAUAGAAGGCGUCGAUUGGAGAGGCUUGAAGAUGGAUCUUAGAAGUUCACUUAUUGCUAAAUUUUUUCCUGAUUCUCACAUUGGCUCCUCCAAGCUUAAACUUUGGUACUUGUGGUAAGAUGCAAAACUCCAUUAAAAAAAAUUUACUUCCUUAUUUUGUCUUGAAUGUGUGAUAUGUCGAAAAAAUUUAGGUCCAAGUCCUGGACAACUUCAUGCUACAUGCUUAGUGGGAAUACGUUGGAGAAUUGAGUGUUUUGAAUGAGUUGAUCCUAACGGAACCAAGGUAAAAAGGCAAGAUUGGAAGAUAUGUUUGUAUUAAGGGUGAUAGUGUGACUAAGGGGCAGAGUGGUCUCGUAUAGAUGUCUAAAGGAGUUGUAGUCAAAGGUAGUCGAAAAAUUACACUAUAUCUACAUGGUCAAUAGUAUUUUUUGAUGUAUAUAUAGAAGAUAUUGAACCCCUUGACUUCUUCAUAUGUUUACUUCUUUCUAUUUUGAAUCCCCUUCGUGAAAAUUCUGGUUCACCUCUUGUUGUAGUCAUACAUAAGCAUGGAAAAUUGAGCUCUCCAUAUAAACCUCUAUUGAAUAUUAUUAUUGCAAGUGAUUAAUAGAGUUGCAACAACUAAGAAGAAUUAUUGAACACUAAUAAACUAUCCUAAGUAAACACGAACUGUUGAAAGAUAAACGUAAGCUGACUACUGGAGUACUGAGUAGCGUUCCAAUACCGUUUACUUCUUCAUGUUCCUGCUGAAAUUAGUAACGGUAAAGGGGCGGAGCCAGAUGAGGAUCAGCAGAAAAUUACACUGUUUAUACCUAGUUAAAAUUAUUUUAUAGUAAAUGUUGAACCCUCUUUUGCUUCUUCGUGUGUUUGCUUUUCAUAUUUUGAACCUCUUGGUGAAAAUCCUGGCUCCACCACUGGUAACAGGGAGACAUAAGUAUUGCGUGAAAUAUAUUC
rnacentral:lncRNA from 1 species